CCAAGCCACCGUCCAAUGGGAUGGUCUAAUCUAGUAUCAGACGCAAUAUUUAUUUUCAUUGCGCUAGACCCCUUUCAUCUCUAUUAGGCAUCAAUCGAUUGCCUAACCGUUUGAAACCUUUGUACCAUUGCAUAUUUCUCUCAAUAAUUUUCGUAAGUUACAACUUGAGGAAUAAUUCAUGUCUUCUUCCCUGAGUUCGCUGUUAGGUGCCCAACUUUGUGUAGCUAUGUUCUGCCAUAAUUUUCCCUCUAAUCGCAUUCGUAGGACGAAGAAGAUUCUGAAGGAAGGAUGACGACUUCAACAGUAUGACCUGAAACCAAGAAUUGAAGACAACAAUGAAAGGGAUCAAUUUCUUCGGGAAGAGCAAACAAGACCGAGAAGAUUCAUAGAAUUUCAUAACCAAACCUUCCCCCUUACUUCUACCUCUUAAUUUUCGGGACGAGAAUUUCCUUUGGUGGUGGAGAGUUGUGACACCAUGUGAUUCAUGUUAUAGUGAUCCGUGUAGUUAAGCUACAACAACCUCUCAGGUUAAGCUAAUGGAUUUUUAUAAAUAGUGUUUGAUCAUCUUUGAUGGAUGGCGAUCAUGAUAUAUAGGCAUGCAUGCAUGGAAGCGCGAAACUCGAAACUCGAUGAUGGAUGGCGAUCGAAUUCGGAUAGGCCUUUGCAGUUCGACUCGGAUGGGGAAUCCUGAAUAUUGCGUUCAGUUUUGGGGGUGUUUGUUUCCAGGGAUUUUUUGGUGUAGGGACUAAGAAAAUCCCAUGUGAAACAAACAGGAGGGACUUUUAGGGACUAAAAGGGGGUAUUUGGGACUAUUUGGAGAAGUCUCUAUGGGAGGGUCUUUUUGGGACUUUUUGGCACUUUUUUCAACAAUGCCCCUACUUUUAGCAUGUCAUUUAAUAACUAGUACUAUAUUACUAAUGGUAACAUGGUCUUUUUACAUGUCAUUUAAUGACCUCUAGUUCCUAUUUAGUCCCUGAAAACAAACGGGUAGGGACUAGGGACUUUUAAGUUGGGACUAAAAAAAGUCCCGAAACUUCUCAAACAAACACGGCCUUUGAUAUUCCCCAUCGUAACGUGUAGGGUGUAUUGUGUUGCUGCAGUCCGAAUGGAAUCCUGAAUCUUUAUUCUCCGUUGUCAAAGAUUCACCUCGACGUGAAGUUUCUACACGUGAGCUCAUAUGUUCCCGGUGUAAACAGUAAAAUAAAUAAAAUAAUAAAUGAUUUCAAAAUUAAUUAUAAUUUUUUUGGCAUAUUUCAAUAAAUGUUUGUUGUGCAUGUAAAAUUUCAUCACCAAAUAAAAAUGAUGAAAGGCAUGGUAAAAAAGUAAAAUUGAUGCUCUCUAAAUGUAACUUCCAAACGCAUUUUGGAACUUUGAUUUUAUUUUUUCUUCCCACGACUUCCGACAACCUGAUUUCGUAAUGAAACUUUGCAUGCAAAAGCAUUUAUUAAUGUAUGUAAAAUAAAUCUGAACUUCUUAAAAUGUUUUUCUGUUUUUUUUAGUUCACAACUCAGGUGUACCAAGGUACUCUGGAAUUAAACUUUUUUGAGGCCCAGAUUAAGGCUAAAUUGUUUUUUUUUCCGAUGAUAACGUCCACAUGUGUGACAUCUCUAUACUUCAUCCACAUGUUUUACUCUUCGUCUGUUCUAUUUUACACGAAUCUUGAGGAUUUCUAAUGAAAUUGAAGUGCCACGUUCGCAGGCCCGGCCCUGAGAGGGGUAGGAGGGGCGGUCGCCCGGGCCCCCAAACUGCAAGGGCCCCCGCCACGCUUGCAUGUAGUCUGUGAAGUGAAAGAGUGGCUCGCAUCCAUGCUGGUGGUGUGCAGGAAUGUGCCAUGUACUCGAUCCACACAAACAUUACACGCAUCCAUCCCAACCGCAGGGACAAGGUAGCUAACCAGUUCACCUAAAAAGAAAGUAGCCCGGGAGUCCACGACGUCUGAGUGAAGUUAUGAUCGCUAGCGUUCCGAUCGCGAGCCAUGACAAACCCUAAUCCCAGGCCUCCAUCAAGGCGACAAGGCGGGUCUCAGGAGGUGUUGGAUGAACUGCCAUCAGGCCGCUGCGGUAUGCACUCCGGUGAACUCUGCUCUCUCGCCGAGCACCUUCCUCCACCAGGUUCACAUCGGUUCAUCAUCGAUCAAGGGCUAACGAUCCGAUCGAUCCGAGGUCUAGCAUAUAAUAACUUAUUCAUCUCCAUAUGACUAUAUUUCUAUACGUAUAUUGCUAAUUAUGUGAUUUAUUUUUACAUACAUGAUGCAUACCAGCAUAUCUUGCACUGUUUAAGGAAAAAAUGGAACUGUGCUUAGCAAUAUGGCCUAGAAAUUGUACACAUAGCAGUGAACAAAUAAACAUAAAUUAGUGUAUGAUGACUUGAUAGAAUCACGUUAGGAGCUAUUGGAUAAAAAAAUCAAAGGUAAUACUAGCUCUUCGCUGAACCUGAUGAGCUGGCGAUAGUUCCCUUGUAGGAAGAGGAAUGUUAAAAGAAAAUUUUAAGAUAAUAUCUGGUGUUGAAUCUAGUCUAGAAGAAAAAGGAUGCAGCAUGUGUAGUUCCCUUUGCCCCUGUGCGGUCCUCUACUUUUGUUAUGUCGACAUUACUCGGUAGAGAUUACUUGUUUAUGCAACGAUUUUCAUUUUGCAAAGUUAUACCCAUUUCCUGACACUAUUGUUUCUUGUAUCAAAACAUGCACAGUAUGAACCAUGUACGAUUCAGCUGAACAGAGCAUUUGGUCGUUGCUAAAACUGUAUGCUCGGUUAACUUUAUUCUAGAUAAAUGACAUUUUCAUUCAAUCGAUAUGCCGAGGUAAUACAGCCACACCAAGCAAAGGCCUCUGCAUCGCACGAUGAACACGGUGACCACGCCCAACCCAAUCAAAACGAGGAAGCCGUAUGUUCUAACUCGCUGCACAUGCCGUUGAUGACUGACUAGUGAGCUGACAAUUCAGUUCGGCUCUUACCGUAAGUUUCAAGCCUGGACAAAUAAAAUGCCGCGUAUUAUAAAUGGAAUGCUAAACUUGUUAGAGUUGUGUCGAAUAUUGUGUAUAAGGUAGGUUACAGUUGGACUUGUAGUUGUAUUGUGUUUAGAUAGGAUAUGGAGUCGUGUCCAAACAGGACACUUAUAUCCUAGGCCCUUCAUAUAUAGCGGGGGUAGACACACGAUGUAACAUAUGCCAACAUAAUAGCACAUGUGUGCAGGGGGAGCCGGCGGCGUGUGCCGGCGCCCAAGACGGUCAUGGUGCGGUAUUGUGACGGUGUCACGGAAAGGAGCGCCCGUAGUCAUGCCCCGGAGAUGUAGCCAUAUCGGUGAACCUCGUUAACAAAUCUUGAUGUCGUGCUCGUGUGAUUGUUUGAUCCUCGAAUGAUUGACAGUGUGCCUCGGAUUUAUUCUAACAAAACUAGUUUUCUAUACAAAGGGUAAUAUACCCCCAAGCACCUGAAAGAUCCCAUGUCAACAAAAUUUUGACGGGACUAAAACAUCAACAGGCAUCAGAAUCAGCAGCGGCUCAUGUUUUCCACUGUCAAUAUGCGAGCUGUGCAUGCGAGCCGAUCAUCUCUCCCUCUCGGACUGACGCAGUUUUCAUGACCGUCAUCUCACGUUGCAGCAAUGGGUGCUGCCAGACUGCAAUUUUCUCCACAGGCAGAUCAUGUGCUGGGGGACUGAUAGUGUUAGGUGAUGUAACCAUCGAAGCAACCAGCCGCCUGGUAGAACCUGACAUCGAGCCGAUACUCUACCGGUCGAUGAGUGAUAUUGAAUUUCUCUUCCCACAUGCCCAUGCUGACAUCUUCCAUCUUCAAUAGCCGCACAAUAAAGAAUCAACAGUUAUCCAUCACCAUUUCUCCAUGACGUGAGUAAAUUCAGUGAGUUGGUAGGUGUUGGGUAGCGUCUAAGAGAUAGAUUCUUAGUGAUACGUCUUCAUCGUAUCUAUUUUUCUAAACUCUUUUGCCCUUGUUUUGGACUUUAAUUUGCAUGAUUUGAAUGGAACUAAUCCGGACUAACGCUGUUUUCAGCAGAAUUGCCAUGAUGUUGUUUUUGUGCAGAAAUGAAAGUUCUCGGAACGUUCUAAAAAUUUACAUAGAAUUUUUCUAGAAAAUAUGAAAAAUAUCUGCGCAAAGAUCCACCGGAGGGGAUGGGCCAGUGGGCCACAAGCCCUGUUACCGCGGCAACCAAGCUUGUGGGGCCCACGUGGCUCUGCUGCCCCAAACUCAGCUCUAUAAAUUCACUUUCGAACGGAAAAAAAUCAGAAGAAAAGAUUUCGUCGCGUUUGCAAUACGGAGGCGCCGCCACAUCCUGUUCUACAUCUGGAGGACAAAUCUGGAGUCCGUUUUGUGCUCCGGAGAGGGGAAAUCGUCGCCAUCGUCAUCAUCAACCUUCUUCCCUCUCCAAUUCCAUGAAUCUCUUCAUCGUUCGUGAGUAAUCUAUUCGUAGGCGCACUGGACGGUGAUGAGUAGGAUGAGAUCUAUCACGUAAUCGAGUUAGUUUUGACGGGGAUUGAUCCCUAGUAUCCAGUAUGUUCUGAGAUUGAUGUUGCUACUACUUUGUCAUGCUUAAUGUUUGUCACUAGGGCCCGAGUGCCAUGAUUUCAGAUCUGAAAUUAUUAUGUUGUCACCAAUAUAUGUGUGUUUUAGAUCCGAUCUUGCAAGUUGUAGUUACCUACUAUGUGUUAUGACCCGGCAACCCCGGAGUGACAAUAACCGGAACCACUCCCGAUGAUGACCAUAGUUUGAGGAGUUCAUGUGUUCACCAUGUGCUAAUGCGUUGUUCCGGUUCUUUAUUAAAAGGAGAACCUUAAUAUCCCGUAGUAUCCUUUUGGACCCCGCUGCCACGGGAGGAAUGGACAAUAGAUGUCAUGCAAGUUCUUUUCCCUAAGCACGUAUGACUACACACGGAAUGCAUGCCUACAUCACAUUGACGAACGGGAGCUAGCCACAUAUCUCUUUGUGUUAUAACUGUUGCAUGAUGAAUAUCAUCCAAACGAAUCACCGACCUAUUGCCUACGAGUUUAUCCCACUGCUGUUGUCACUUGUUUUACUCUACUACUGUUAUUUGUUUUGCUCUGCUGCUGUUACUUGUUUUGCUCUGCUGCUGUUACUACUUCUGCUACUUGCUACUGUUGCCACUUGGUACCGAUGUCACUACUGCUGUUCCUUGUCACUGCUGUUACUCGUUACACUGCUCCUACCCGCUACAAUACUUUUUCGCUCGACGUUGCCGGGAAAAGACUAUUUCCGUCUAUGGGCAACUUCUGGCACCAUUGAUACAACAGUUAGGAAUAGUCUGCCAUCAACAGAUCGUUUCUGGCACCGUUGUUAUCAUACUACUUUGCUGCUGAUACUUUGCUUGCAGAUACUAAUUUUUCAGGUGUGGUUGAAUCUGACACAUUCAGCUGCUAAUACUCGAGAGUAUCCUCUCACUUCCUGCCUGGUGAACCAACAAAUUUGGGUUGAAUACUCUACCCUCGAAAACUACCGCAAACCCACGCGCUGGUGGGCCAUUGCAAGACAAUUGCUAAUUGUUGAGCAACUGGGAGCAGUUCUGGAUCUGUUGUCGCGAAGGCAUCAAGUCAGGGACACGUCAACAAUAUUCUUCUAGUGUCGUUGUCGGGGCCUGCCGUUAGCAGCAUUUUUCUGGCGCCGUUGUCGGGGAAGGAUUGAUAUAUUCUCUGAGUCACUUGGGAUUUAUAUCUGCUGAUCACUAUGAAGAAUCUGAAAGAUCCCAAAACCAAAGUCUUGCCCUCAACUACGAGGGGAGGUAAGGAACUGCCAUCUAGCUCUGCACUUGAUUCACCUUCAGUUUUGAGUAAGUUUGCGACAUCACCUCCUGUUAGAAAUUUUGAUAUUUCGACUGUGCUAGAUGAUGCUAAAGGUGCUACUGCUAUUGAUGAUGCUUAUGAUGCUACUAUGCCUGAUACUGCUAGAGAUGUUAUGCCUGAUACUACUAUGCCUGAUACUGCUAGAGAUGUUAUGCCUGAUGAUGUUAGAGAUGCUCUUUUGCCUGAUGAUGCUAUGCUUGAUAUAGCUAGAGAUACUACUUUGCCUGAUGUGUCACUAAGGGUGGUCCUUGAUGAUCAUAUUGCUAGAGUUACUACCAAUGCUCGUGAUGCUUCUGAAACUGCCGAUACUAUUGAUAUGGAACCUUCUUUUGCUCCUGCUAGAUCUAGCUCUCCUAGAUAUGAAUUUCCUGAUAUACCUGAGGGUUACGUUAUGGAGGGAGAGAUAGCUGAGGAUUUUCUUGUGUGUAAGGAUGCCUAUGACGCUGAGAAAUUACUUUUCAAGUGGAAGGAAAAAUAUCAGAAAGCUAUGAUGAAAUAUGACCCGAAGUUUGCCACUUCACCUAUCUUUAUUACCGAUAAGGAUUAUGAAUUCUCUGUCGAUCCUGAGAUAAUCUCUCUAGUCGAAUCUGAUCCUUUCCACGGUUAUGAGUCUGAGACGGUCGUAGCACAUCUUACCAAACUACACGAUAUAUCCACCCUUUUUACAAGUGAGGAGAAGAUCCGCCACUACUAUAUCCUUAAGUUGUUUUCUUUCUCUCUAAAGGAUGACGCUAAAGCCUGGUUCACUUCUCUUGCUCCUGGAUGUGUGAGUAGUCCCCAGGAUAUGGUCUAUUACUUCUGUGAGAAAUAUUUCCCUGCCCAUAAGAAGCAAGCUGCAUUGCAAGAAAUAUACAACUUUGCUCAACUCAAAGAAGAGAGUCUCCCACAAGCUUGGGGGAGGCUCGUCCAGCUACAGAAUGCUUUGCCUGAUCACCCUCUUAAGAAGAACGAGAUACUUGAUAUCUUCUAUAACGGACUUACCGAUGCUUCUAGAGACCAUCUAGAUAGUUGUGUCGGUUGUGUUUUUAGGAAACGAACUGUAGAACAAGCUGAGACUCUACUGAAUAACAUCUUGAUCAACGAUAAUGCUUGGACUAUUCCCGAACCACCUCCUAAGCCAACUUCCAAGAAAAGAGGUAUUCUAUUCCUAAGUCCCGAAGAUAUGCAAGAAGCCAAGAAAUCUAUGCAAGAGAAAGGCAUUAGAUCCAAAGAUGUCAAAAUUCUGCCACCUAUCGAAGAGAUCCAUGGUCUCGAUAACCCGAUACAGGUAGUAGAAGUAAAUUCUCUGCGUAGGUUUGAUGAGAGUGAUAUUCCUUUUGAUAAACCUGCUAGCCUAUGCUUUGAUGAAUUUGACAACUUUGUUGCCAAACAACAGAGUUUCAAUGAUUAUGUUAGCAGACAUUUGGAACAAAGUACUCGUAUGCUUAGUCAUUUAAGUGCUUGUGUAGACAGAAAUGUCAAUGAUCUGAAGUAUCUGAGUAAACAUGCCUCUAUGAUUACUACUCAGGUAGAACAAGUACUUAAAGCUCAAAAUGACUUGCUCAAUGAAUUAAAUGACAACUCUGUCAGAGUCAUUACUAGAGGAGGCAAAAUGACUCAGGAACCUUUGUAUCCUCAGGGUCAUCCUAAGAGAAUUGAUCAAGAUUCUCAAGGAAUUAAUGCAUAUACACCCAUUCAUCCUAAGGAGAAGAAGAAGGAUGAUAGAAACCUGCAUGUUAGUUCACCAAAUACCGUCACACCUAAAGAACCAAAUAAUAUUUCUGCGUCUGAUGCAGAAACACAGUCUGGUGAUGAACAUGAACCUGGUGAUAAUAUGGACAGCGAUGUUCAUAAUGAUGCUCAACCUAGCAAUGAUAAGGAUGUGGAUAUUGAACCUACGGUUAAUCCUGAUAACCCACAACCUAAGAGAUACGAUAAGAAUGACUCCACUGCUAGGAAGCAUGGUAAAGAAAGAGAGCCAUGGGUUCAGAGACCUAUGCCCUUUCCUCCUAAGCCAUCCAAGAAAAAGGAUGAUGAGGAUUUUGAGCGCUUUAUUGAAAUGAUAAGACCCGUCUUUCUGCAGAUGUGGUUAGUUGAUAUGCUCAAAAUGUCUCCAUAUGCCAAGUACAUGAAAGAUAUCGUGACCAAUAAACGGAAGAUACCAGAUCUUGAGAUCUCCACCAUGCUUGCCAAUUACACUUUCCAAGGUGGAACUCCUAAGAAACUUGGUGAUCCCGGAGUGCCCACUAUACCUUGCUCCAUUAAAGGAAACUCCGUAAGAACUGCCUUAUGUGACCUUGGAGCCGGUGUUAGUGUUAUUCCUCUCUCUCUUUAUCGUAGACUUGAACUGGAUAAGUUGACACCCACUGACAUUUCUUUGCAAAUGGAAGACAAAUCAACUGCUUUCCCUGUUGGCAUUUGCAAGGAUGUGACUGUUGUGGUUGCUAACACCACUAUCUUAACAGACUUUGUUAUCUUGGAUAUUUCCGAGGACGAUUCCAUGGCUGUCAUCCUCGGAAGACCUUUUUAAACACUGCUGGGGCUGUUAUAGAUUGUAACAAAGGCAAUGUCACUUUCCAUGUCAACGGUAAUGAGCAUAUCGUGCACUUUCUCAAGAAAUGAUAUCAAGUACAUUGCAUCAAUGCUAUCGAGAAAACUUCAUCGAUUCUUAUUGGGAGCUUUGAAUGCGCUAUUCCUCGUGUCAAGAUGAAGUAUGAUUUUCUUGUUGGGGAGAUUCAUAUCUUCAUUGAGUUGACUUAGUGGCUAUUCGAAAAUUCUCCAUUCUCUCUUGCGAUUCGAGAAAGUUUUGUCAUGAGGAUUUGAUCAACCCCAUUGACGGAUUUCUUUCGAUGACCAUGAAAUGGAUGAAUCAAAGAGUCACAUACCUGUGUUUUAAGCUUUCACUUUCUUUUGCUUAGAAGAAAAAUGAUAGAUUUAGUUUAGUUUUCCUGUUUUCUGUUUUAGCGUCUCGGAUAAAAAUACCCCGAAAAUAAAAGUUCUCCGAUGGUCCUGAAAAUCUAGUAUGAUUUUUUCUGGAAUAUUUGAAAAAUACUGGGACUGAGAGCUGGCCUGGGGGCCACCCCAGUGGGCCACAAGCCCUGUCACCGCGGCCACCCCCCUGGCCGCGGCAAGCAAGCUUGUGGGGCCCACAUGGCCCCCCUCCACUCAUUCCAGCUCCCAUCCUCUUCCUCUACCUCCAGAAAAAACAUUUUCACAGCUCAAACCCGUGUUCUUGCUCAUUUGGCUGUGAUUUUCGAUCUCCUUGCUGAAAGCAUCAUUCUCCGAACCGUUUUGGGGAAAUUACUCCUUGUUAAGUGACUCCUCCAUUGGUCCAAUUAGUUUUUGCUCUAGUGCUUUAUCCUUCGCGUAUUCUUGCUACCUUGGUGACCCUGUUCUUGAGCUUGAAAUGUUGAUUUUAGCUGGUCCCAAGUAGUUUGAGCGCGUGAUACGGUCUCUAGGCACUAGUAGGAGUAGUUGCUACAAGGUGUGGUUGGUAUUUAUUCACUCUUCUCUUGAACUUCAAAAUUUUCAGCAAAAGAAAUUAUGUUCAGGAGGAAGUUUCAUGGUGGUUCCUCAAGUAAGAAGGGUCCCCGUCUUUCUAUUCGGGAGCCCGAUCCUUAUCAACUAAGGGACGCACCGGUACAACCAUGUGAAUGGCCUUCCGAUGAGUUCAUGAUCGAAGCAGGCUUCAAGGAUGAGUUUGAUACACUUGACCGCAAUGCCGGGUUAGAAGAAUUCCUCUCAGAUAAAUGUGAACAGUAUGCUAUGCUCAUUGCCUCUUUCAUGCGUAGAUUUAAAUUUUCAGUUGGCCGUGACUCAUCCAUACUGUUUGAUUUGUAUGAUAAAUCCUAUGCCAUGGAUUUGGAAGAUUUCAAUAGGAUUUGCAAAAUACCCGAUGGGGGUAAUCUUAAAGAUCCUGCUAAAUCUUCGGUUAGAGAUUUUUUCUCUAGUAUAUCUGUUGGAGAAACUAGAGACAUCACGCAAGCUACCAUAGGAAGCAUUCAUUUCCCUGCCUUGCACUACUUUGCCCUCUUCGUAGGUAGGUGCAUUAACGGUAAGGUUGAACAUUGUCACCUAUGCGCAUCCGACCUUAGUAUUCUUAAGAGCGCAGUUACGGGUGACAAAAGCUUCAACAUGGGAGUUAUUAUAGCAAGGAGGCUGAAUAAGAACGCUAUUGAGGGAGAUUUCUUUGGCGGCAUCUAUGCCACUCGCAUAGCAAAUUUUCUUGGAGUACCCAUCCACGCAGGAGAUCCCCUGCUCCAUACAGCUUUCCUUGACCGCAUCGCUUUGACACGCUACCAGUUCCUUGAGAGGGGUGAUGAAUCCCUCCUAUACCGAUUGAUAUUUAACAGGCAGCGUGUUUUCCAUAUUACCCUUCCUGCUCCUGCUUUCUUUGACUUUCAGGUUAAACGGAGAUACUACAUAACCAUAGGAGAGGAACAGGAGUAUGAGAGGGAGGAGACGGCUGCCCGUCUUCGUGAGGCAGCUAUUCAGGCAGUGGCUGCAGCGCUCCCGUAUAACCCCGAUUAUGAUUUUUGGUUUCGCCAGGACCGUCCUUGGGAGUAGACCAAGCUAGACCAAAAGCCUAAUCUUGGGGGAGUACGUGUUCUCACCGACCUUACAUUAAUGCUUAUGCUUUUACUUUGUUCGUCGGUGUUCACACUUUGCCACUGUAUUAUCCAUGCUAGUUUAUUUUCGUUUUCUUGUUUUCUUGUUUUGUGUCCUUUUGAGAAAACCCAAAAAGAUUUCCCUUUCUUCUUUUGCUUGUUGGGAGCUUUCCCGUGUAAAUAGUUUUCUUUUUCUUUGGGUCAAGGUAGAAGAUAUUGGUUACAAUAUUUAAUAGCUCUUGCAUGCAUACCUGUUUAGCUUUCAAAGAGCCAUAUUACUUUGUCUUCUCCUUUGUGUUUGCCUGCAGAUUUCAGCUUAGUCCAAUGCAUGAGCACUCUUAUUAUUGUUCACAUUGUUCGAUCGUGCAAGUGAAAGUCAAUGAUGAUGAUAUAUGAAGAAGUGACUGAGACUGGAAAAGCUGGUAUGAACUCUAUAUAUUUUGUUUUUGUAAAUAUGACUAGCUUGUCAUCCCAGAUUCAGCUUUGUUGUGAGAGAACCAUGUUUGCAAUGACAACUUAGAGAUCAUAGUUUCUGAUGGCAUGCUUAUUUAGCUAGGAGCUUAUAAUGGUUUGUCUUGAAUGCCAACAUAGAUUUUGAGAUAACUAUGAUGUAGUAUGAUAGGAUGGUAUUCUCCUUUGAAUGAUUCAAGUGGCUUGACUUGGCGCAUGUUCAUGCAUGUAGUUGAAACAAAAAUCAAAAUAGCCUCUAUGAUGUUCGUGUUCAUGGUGAUUUAUAUCCUAUUCAUGCUUGCACUCCAUGUUAGUCAAACUCAUUGCAUUCUGAUGACUGUUGUCGCUCUCUAGUUGGUUGCUUCCCAGUCUUUUGCUAGCCUUCACUUGUACUAAGUGGAAUACUGCUUGUGCAUCCACUUCCAUAAACCCAAAAGUUUUUCCAUGCGAGUCUACCAUACCUACCUAUUUGCGGUAUUUACCUGCCGAUCCAAGUAAAUUUGCAUGUGCCAUUCUCUAAACCUUCAAGAAAUAUUCUGUUUUGCAUACCCGAACCGCUCAUGUGGUGAUAGGGGCUAUUGGUAUCUUCCAUGUUAGGCGUGUUAUCCUCGACAUGUGUUUAUUCACUGUCAUUCACGAGAAAGGGGCCAGUAAUUGGAAUGCCUAGUUCCACGCUUAAAUCGAAAACAUAACUGUAAAAGAAGACUCCCCCCGGAUUGAUGUUAGUAUGGACGGUACCCGAGGAUUCGGCUAGCCGUGGAGUGUGAUUGAUUGGUGGUGGGGGAGUUAUAACUUUACUUUUCUGUUUGGGAACCGCUUAUAGCAUGAAUAGCAUGGAAGAUAUUGAGAACUCUUGGUCAUUGCAUUGACAAUGAAAGCAUGCCACCCAAAAUUAUUAUCUCUGUUUUCAAAGCUUGAGCUCUGGCACCUCUGCAAAUCAAUGCUUCCCUCUGCGAAGGGCCUGUCUAUUUAUUUUCAUGUUGAGUCAUCCUCUUCUUAUAUAAGCACCAAUUAGAGAGCACCUCUAUCUUUUUUAUGCUUUGCUUUUGAUUGAUAUUGAGUAUGACUAUGACUGGAUCUUCGUUGCUAUGAAUUACAAUGUUUAGUCAGCCCUUGAUCUUUGAAAGUGCUUUGCAUUUAUGUUUUGCGGUCUCAGAAAGAGCUAGCGAGAUACCACCUAUUCAUAUUGCUUCAUGCUUGUUUUGAUUGAAUUAUUGGUAUAUGAAACUCAUUAUUAUUUGCUCGCUAGCUGAUUAUGCCAUUGAUAUUAGUUUACCGAGAGACCUUUGUGUCACUUGCUUAUGUGGUUAACUUGUGAUCUUGCUGAAAUUCUGGUUAUGAGUUAGACAUAGUUGCAACAACAAGAUCAAACAGAGUUUGUCAAAGUUUUUCUUUCUCUUUCAGUUUGUCAAUUGAGUUGCUUGAGGACAAGCAAUGUUUUAAGCUUGGGGGAGUUGAUACGUCUCCAUCGUAUCUACUUUUCCAAACUCAUUUGCCCUUGUUUUGGACUCUAAUUUGCAUGAUUUGAAUGGAACUAACCCGGACUGACGCUGUUUUCAGCAGAAUUGCCAUGGUGUUGUUUUUGUGCAGAAAUGAAAGUUCUCGGAACGUCCUGAAAAUUUCCGGAGAAUUUUUCUGGAAAAUAUGAAAAAUACCUGCACAAAGAUCCACCGGAGGGGAUGGGCCAGUGGGCCACAAGCCCUGUUGCCGCGGCCACCCCCUGGCCGCGGCAACCAAGCUUGUGGGGCCCACGUGGCUCUGCUGGCCCCAAACUCAGCUCUAUAAAUUCACUUUUGCCCAGAAAAAAAUCAGAAGAGAAGAUUUCAUCGCGUUUGCGAUACGGAGGCGCCGCCACAUCCUGUUCUUCAUCUAGAGGACAGAUCUGGAGUCCGUUUUGGGCUCCGGAGAGGGGAAAUCGUCGCCAUCGUCAUCAUCAACCUUCUUCCCUCUCCAAUUCCACGAAGCUCUUCAUCGUUCGUGAGUAAUCUAUUUUUAUGCUCGUUGGGCGGUGAUGAGUAGGAUGAGAUCUAUCAUGUAAUCGAGUUAGUUUUGACGGGGAUUGAUCCCUAGUAUCCAGUAUGUUCUGAGAUUGAUGUUGCUACUACUUUGUCAUGCUUAAUGUUUGUCACUAGGGCCCGAGUGCCAUGAUUUCAGAUCUGAAAUUAUUAUGUUGUCACCAAUAUAUGUGUGUUUUAGAUCCGAUCUUGCAAGUUGUAGUUACCUACUAUGUGUUAUGACCCGACAACCCCGGAGUGACAAUAACCGGAACCACUCCCAGUGAUGACCAUAGUUUGAGGAGUUCAUGUGUUCACCAAGUGCUAAUGCGUUACUCCCGUUCUUUAUUAAAAGGAGAACCUUAAUAUCCCGUAUUAUCCUUUUGGACCCCACUGCCACAGGAGGGAUGGACAAUAGAUGUCAUGCAAGUUCUUUUCCCUAAGCACAUAUGACUACACACGGAAUGCAUGCCUACAUCACAUUGACGAACGGGAGCUAGCCACAUAUCUCUCCGUGUUAUAACUGUUGCAUGAUGAAUAUCAUCCAAACGAAUCACCGACUCGUUGCCUACGAGUUUGUCCCACUGCUGUUGUCACUUGUUUUACUGUGCUGUUGUUACUUGUUUUACUCUGCUGCUGUUACUUGUUUUGCUCUGCUGCUGUUACUACUGCUGCUACUUGCUACUGUUGCCACUUGCUACCGCUGUCACUACGGAUGUUCCUUGCCACUGCUGCUACCCGCUAAAAUACUUUUUCGCUCGACGUUGACGGGAAAAGACUAUUUCCGUCUACGGGCAACUUCUGGUGCCAUUGAUACAACAGUUAGGAAUAGUCUGUCGUCAAUAGAUCGUUUCUGGCACCGUUGUUAUCAUACUACUUUGUUGCUGAUACUUUGCUUGCAGAUACUAAUCUUUCAGGUGUGGUUGAAUCUGACACAUUCAGCUGCUAAUACUCGAGAGUAUCCUCUCACUUCCUUCCUAGCGAACCAACAAAUUUGGGUUGAAUACUCUACCCUCGAAAACUGUCGCGAACCCACGCGCUGGUGGGUCAUUGCAAGACAAUUGCUAAUUGUUGAGCAACUGGGAGCAGUUCUGGCUCUGUUAUCGCGAAGGCAUCAAGUCAGGGACACGUCAACAACAUUCUUCUAGUGUCGUUGUCGGGGACUGCCGUUAGCACUUACCCGAAGUGUCUGCUUGUCAAACUCAGAUACGAUGUAGCGUGUAAUAUCUGAUGAGAUCACAUAGCCAGGCCCAUUAGCAUAACUUGGGUAAGCCUCCUCUGGCCAUUCCUAGAAAGAAACAAGAAAACUAUGAUUAAGAUGCCCUUUCGGUAUAAGUACAAAAAUCAUGGAGACGGAAGGACAACACAAAGUACAUAACGCCAGAUUUUGUUGUCCCAAGAUUAGAUUAUUCAUGUUCACCAAGUACCAUAUGAUCGAGAUGGUUAGAAACAUUGCAGCUGUGAAACCAAUGAAUGAUUCUGAUAUUAAUGAUCUAGGAAUGGGGGCAUUAGAACGGUUAUGUGAGGAUCUUGUGCCUCCUUCACUUGUGCCUGAAGAGGCAAAUGACAUCGUUGACAGGGGGUAUGUGGCUCCUCUUCAAACGUCGAUAAGCACAGAAACUGAGACCGGUUAUGUGGACCGGUACGAGGAUCGGGAUAGGCCGAAAAGAACAUGGAAGAGAAAGAUAUAUCCUGUAUCGGCGGUGCGUAGAAGUGCAAGAUUUAAGACAGCGAAGAAAUUUCAUGAUGAGAGAUGAGAGGAAUUUUCUGGAAUAGCAGAGGUCUAGCAGACUUGGCUAAAAGGAGGUUUCUAGCGGAAGCAUCUAUUGAGCACAAAUUAGAUUUCAUUGUUCUCAUGGAAACGGGGAGAGAUAAUUUUACUGCGCAAUUUUUAGGAACGUUAUCUGGUGGUGUAGAGUUUGACUGGCACUGUCUACCUCCAAGAGGAAGAUCCGGGGGGAUCUUGCUUGGGGUGAAGUGCGAGACGCUACAAGUCCGGAACGUGGUGUUCGGGGACUUUUCUAUAAAAUUUAUAGUUCGGUCAAAGGUGGAUGUAUUCCAAUGGGCCCUGGUAGCAGUAUACGGGGCAGCCCAUCCUGAGCUCAAGAGAGACUUCUUGGCUGACCUUGUCCGGAUAUGUGGGGAUGAGUGGUUGCCAAUUCUAGUUGGUGGAGAUUUUAAUAUAAUCAGAAGACGAGACGAGAAAAACAAUGUGAACUUUGAUGACAGAUGGUCAUUCAUGUUUAACUCUAUCAUCGAAAGCCUUGAUUUGCGAGAAAUUAAGCUAUUAGGCAGAAAAUUUAUUGGGCGAACAACCUACCUAAUCCAACUUUUGAGAAGUUGGACCGGGUCCUUGCGAGUGUGGAUUGGGAGCAGAAGUUUCCUCAUGUCACAGUUCGCGCUAUGCCCAGAGCCAUAUCCGAUCAUACCCCAUUGUUUGUAGACUCAGGGGAGACAACUCAUGUGGGGAAUAAAAACCUCUUCUCAUUCGAGUUAGGAUGGCUCGAAAGAGAGGGUUUCGUGGUUCUCAUUGCCAGGGAGUGGGCCAUGGAUAUGGGAGGAACCUCCAAGAUUGACAGGUGGCAAAAUAAGAUUAGACACGUGCGUCAAUUUUUACGGGGAUGGGCGAAGCAUGAAAGUGGAAUUUAUAAGAAAGAGAAAUAGAGGCUUCUCGAACUUAUAAAUACGCUAGAUUUAAAAGCCGAAAAUUCGUUAUUAAAUGACAAUGAGAGGUCAUUAAAAGUGGAUGCUGAAUUAAAGCUAAAACAACUGCUCAGACAGGAUGAGUUGAAAUGGGCACUGAGGGCAAAGGUUCGCUAGGUUGUGCAAGGUGAUGACAAUAACAAUACUUCCAUUUGAUAGCUAAUGGAAAACAUAGAAAAAAAUAUCGGCUUGAGCAGGAUGAGGGUACAAUUGUUGGACACGAAAAUCUGAAAUUGUAUAUCUCUCAGUACUACAAAAAACUCUUCGGGGCUCCGGAAGACAAUUUUGUAUCCAUGAAUGAACAAUCGGCCGGGGACAUACCUCAGCUCGGGAUGGAUGAGAAUGAGUUAUUAACCAUGCCUUUUACGGAGAAAGAGGUGUUUGAAGCCAUAACACAAAUGAAAAAUAAUAAGGCACCGGGACCGGAUGGAUUUCUGGCUGAGUUUUACAAGAAGUGUUGGCACAUUAUCAAAGGUGACUUGUUACCUAUGUUCCAAGAACUUUUUGAUGGAAAUUUACAAUUAUUUCACCUGAAUUUCGGAACAGUGAUACUGUUGCCAAAGAAGGAGGGUGCAAUUUGUAUAGAACAAUUUAGACCUAUUUGUCUUCUAAAUAUCAGCUUUAAAAUAUUUACAAAGGUAGGAACGAAUAGGUUGACCAAGAUUGGGCAUGAGGUAGUGCAACCGAGCCAGGCGGCUUUCAUGCCGGGCCGGAACAUACUAGAGGGUGUGGUGGUCUUGCAUGAAACGCUGCAUGAAAUUCACUCGAAGAAACUAGACGGGGUUAUCUUCAAGGUAGAUUUUGAGAAGGCAUAUGAUAAGGUCAAAUGGCCAUUCCUACAACAGGCAUUACGUACGAAGGGGUUCGACGAAAUUUGGAGGAAACAUGUUGAAUCAUUCGUACAAAAAGGGAGUGUUGGAAUUAAGGUCAAUGAUGAUGUUGGCCAUUUCUUCCAAACUUUCAAAGGUCUCAGACAGGGAGAUCCAAUGUCACCCAUCCUAUUUAACAUAGUUGCAGACAUGUUGGCAAUUCUAACAGGGAGGGCUAAACUAGGAGGCCAGGUAGGUGGACUGGUGCCGCAUCUUGUGGAUGGCGGCGUGUCCAUCCUGCAAUAUGCUGAUGAUACUAUCUUGUUUAUGGAACAUGAUAUAGCAAAAGUCAGGAAUAUGAAGCUUAUCCUCUGCCUCUUCGAACAACUGUCAGGUUUGAAGAUUAAUUUUCAUAAGAGUGAGCUGUUUUGUUUUGGGAAAGCCAAAGAGGAACAAAACACUUACAAACAAUUGUUCGACUUUGAACUGGGUAGCCUAUCGUUCAGUUAUUUAGGUAUACCUAUUCAUCAUCGAAAGCUUUCCAAUAGUGAGUGGAAAAGCAUCGAGGAUCGAUUUGAGAAGAAGCUAAGCUGCUGGAAGGGCAAGCUCCUCUCAUAUGGGGGAAGGUUAAUUCUAAUUAACUCGGUACUUACGAGUAUGCCGAUGUUCCUUCUAUCCUUCUUUGAGGUACCCGUGGGGGUACGUAAAAGGCUGGAUUUUUAUCGAUCUAGAUUUUUUUGGCAGAGUGAUGAAGACAGGAAGAAAUAUAGAUUAGCUAAAUGGGAUAUUAUUUGUAGGCCCAAAGACCAAGGAGGUCUGGGAAUUGAGAACUUAGAGAUAAAGAAUAGAUGUUUGCUAAGUAAGUGGCUGUUUAGACUUUUGGUAGAGACAGAAGGUAUGUGGGUACAAAUUUUGCGUAAUAAGUACCUACACUCUAAAACCUUAUCCCAGGUAAAAGUGAGACUUAAUGAUUCACCAUUCUGGAAGAGAUAGAUGAGAGUGAGAUCAACCUUCUUCCAUAGAACCAAAUUCAUUAUUGGAACCGAUGAGGGUACGAGAUUCUGGGAGGAUGCACGGUUGGGGGAGAUGCCCCUGGCUAUUCAAUAUCCAGCUCUCUAUAAUAUUGUGCAACGAAAGGAGGCGUAUGUAGCCACAGUACUUUAGUCAAAUCCUCUAAAUAUCCAAUUCAGACGGUCAUUGAUAGGCCAUCGUUGGGCGGAUUGACUACACCUUGUUAGGAGGCUCAUGGAUAUCCAGUUAUCAGAAGAACUUGACAUGGUCUAUUGGAAGCUUACAAAUAACGGAAUAUUUACGGUCAAAUCGAUGUAUCUCAAUCUUAUUGAUACGACUACUAUCCCAAAAUCCAUUAAUAUUUGGAGAGUCAAGGUUCCUUUAAGGAUCAAGGUCUUCAUGUGGUUUGUGCACAAGAAGGUGAUUCUAACUAAGGAUAAUUUGGCUAAACGUAAUUGGGGAGGAAGUACUCGAUGUAGCUUUUGUGAUAACGAAGAGAACAUUACACACCUCUUUCUCCAAUGCCCACUUGCGAGAGUUCUUUGGCACACAGUGUGUAUAGCCUUUAACAUUGUACCCCCAGAUAGCAUUGACACAUUAUUUGAAGGGUGGCUACAUGGAGUUGAUAUGAUUAUUGCUAGACCCAUUUGAAUUGGAGUUUGUGCACUUCUUGGGGCUAUAUGGAACUGUAGGAAUGAUGUGGUUUUUGACAGACAUACGAAUAUACAUUUUUUGCAGGUACUUCACAGAGCUGCGGCAUUGCUCCGUACGUGGUCAUUACUCACUCCUGCGGAAACCAGGGAGCCUUUGGUUACUGGGUCUACCCGAUGGAAGAUGGUACCGCGAAAUAUCUUCCACCGGUUUGGAUGGCGGUCCAGUAAUAGGAUAGAUGGUUAGGCAUCUAGGCCUGUUUUGUCGGUUGUGCCACUUUUUGAUCUACUUUUGCUUCUUUACUGCUUUGUUGGAGACUAAGUUAAACCAAGAUCUGUUUGUUUAUUUUAAUAAAAGGGCCGUAUGCAUCGCGCUGAUGCAGAGGUCGGAGGUAACCCUUCUUUUCUAAAAAAACAAGUAACAUAUGAACGCAAGACUUUUGACUGACAAAUGUAAAAUCCACUUCCGAUAACAAGUUAUACCUACAGCGAACUUAUUCAAAUCUAUACAAGAACUUAAAACUGGAUCAUGUUGAUCCCAUGGUUUUACUCCUCUUGCACAAAGGACUUUUCCACAUAAAUCAGUUUGUCGACUGUGCAUAAUAAUUUAAUCAUUCCAGCGACUAUCCUCAUAAUUCACUACAAGAUUUGCACUUCUGAUGUGCCUGCGAAUUCGUGCAGCAAGCGCGUAAUGGGUUUCACCAAUAGAAUACCAGGUGCCAGGUGGUAAUUGACUUCUUGCCAUUUGGCAGCAAACGGAAACAAAGGUAUGCUACACUUUUGAUGUGCCUGCAAAUUCGCGCAGCAAGUGCAUAAUGGUUUUCACAAAUAAGAAUACCAGGUGCUAGGUGGUAAUUGACUGCUUGACAUUUGGCAGCAAACGGAAACACGGGUGUGCUAUGCUUUUUGUUAGGAAUAAAAUAUCUUUAGAUUUAGGCUAAUUAGGCAAUUAGCAUAUUCCUUAGAAUAUUCCGUUUAGUAGUUAAGAUACUGCGUUGUCCAGACGCUGUUCUCAAGGAACCGUCGCUGCGUCUUUUCGAAACGAUGCAAACACUGUAACCGACUUGUAUCCUGCGACUAUUCAGGAGAUAUAAAACCUGUAGUCAUUAUCAAUGAAAGCAUCCGAUUUCACUUUCAAUCUUACUCUUUUCUCUUCACCGUUAUCAUGCACGUAUCGCUAUUACAGAGAGAAUAGGCUACAUGAGAGAAGAAAGGUAAGAAGAUAUGGAUUCUCUAUCAGACCUUGCUUUUGCUUUCGCUAGGUUCGUGGCUAGGGAGCAUUGCCGUUUCCGUCUUCCUCGCCGGACUUCUGGUCUGGCCGCUGUUCGUCGUCGGAACUUUGGACGUCCCCAUCAGCGUCACCUGAACAGGAACGGCGGCCUCCGCCGCCGCAGUGCACCAUACCAUGCUCCUCUUCGUCGCUACGGUCCUGGUGGUGGCCUCCUUCGCCGCCAUGCUCAUCGCCAGCGCCUCCACAGUUGUCACCGUUCGGUGCACCGAAGCAAUCCCCAUGGAGUGCCAGGACCGAGUACGAGGACGGAUGCGCCCACGGAAGAGGUCCCGGUCAUGCCCCAAAAGGCUGUUGUCGCACCAAACGAUGUCGACGAAUAGGUUGCUGCAGUGCCGAAUGUCGCUGCAGGGGUUGGGAUCGAGCACGAGGAUGAGGCCUCUGCCUCCAACAUCAACACAGAUGCCGCAGAACUGCCGCCUCCUCCGUCGGUGUACGCACCUAUGGAAUGGAUGCUUGCCGGACCAAGCGUCGGAUGGCUAGUUGAUGACCCAAAUAGCUCCUUCAACGACGAAGAACUCGCGGCACCGCCUCCGCCACCGCUGAUGUAUUCUUGCCCAGCCUACGGGUACGGGUCGAGACUCCCAUUCCCGAAGCCAUCUGACGAGGACCCGGAGCACUUCAACCCGCUGGGCUACGAUCCACUGUCGGAGUUCUCCUCGUCGCCGGCUGCAGUCCCUCUGGACGCACUCAAGCCCCGACUCGUCAUCAACCUCUUGCCAAAGGUGAAGACGGAGGAGAUCGAGGCUGCUGCACCGACGCUUGCUGUCGCGACGCUCCCCGACCUCAACCUCCCAGCGCCGGAAGUGGAGUGUCGGGACCCCGAUCCUAAGUCAUAGGAAUCCAGCAUGUAACACAUCACAUCUCUUUGCGGUCUCACGCACGGUUAACUCCACGGCUGCAGCCUUACCUUAGCCGGGACCGUUUGCGUCUUUUGACUCACGUAUGCAAUAGUGUUGCUAGCAUUCCAAUGUCAAAGAACCCGGAUCGACAAGUCUAGUCACAAACCACAGUGGCACUACCGCACAAGGACAGGCAUACAUGACCCAACAAAGCAGGUGUCGGUCACCAGCGAGUGUAGACGAGUCGUAGCAAGCUACAGGGACUCCAUUACAUCGCGUGGCAUUUCCCCAGAGGGGACAGACACAGCAGCUAAGAAGGACACAUGCCGGUCAACCAAUGUGUCCGGAGCAGUAGCGAACUACCAAGGCUCGUUGGAUCACAAAGGGGCAUUUCCUUGUAAGGAGUGCUACUAAAGUUCACGACUAGGUAAUCGAACCCCAUACAUAUCAAGUAUGACACACGUACGCAUGGCAUACCGAUAUGUAUAGAUACAUCGAUGGCAUCACAACAUAACCAUAAACAUACAAGCUUUAUUUAAGAGGCUNNNNNNNNNNNNNNNNNNNNNNNNNNNNNNNNNNNNNNNNNNNNNNNNNNNNNNNNNNNNNNNNNNNNNNNNNNNNNNNNNNNNNNNNNNNNNNNNNNNNNNNNNNNNNNNNNNNNNNNNNNNNNNNNNNNNNNAGAGCCACACACAUAAUAUUACACAUUAAGGGUCUCACGACCCAUAAUAGUAGUCAUUCAGUUACAAGCCAGCGGAAGAGUUUAAAGUUGUCUGAGUACAGACAGGUGCAACUAAAAGGGCACAUGGCCUGACUAUACUACAGACCCAACCUAGGGCCAGAUCGUAGCUGGGACACCAGCUACUCGUCGUGGUCGAUGUCUACGAAGAACCCUCCAUUAGGGUCAUUAGCAACCUCUGCAACAAUUAUUAAGCAAACAUAAGUACGAAGGUACUCAGCAAGACUUUAGGAUAACUAUCUACUCAUGCAAGGUAUCAAUAAGGUAUUGUGGGGUUUCAUGCGGAAAGCCAGCAUUUGACUCGUGGCUAGACAACUUGCAUUUUUAAAUAAUUUUGACAACUUGAUUUCUCGCACACGAGUCCACUAACACCACAACAAUACACCAUCGUGGAAUCAUUCCGUAUCCAUACGGAAAUGCCGUCCACGACACUCACGCUUAUCUUGACAAUUUUAUGAGUAGCCAUUUAAGUUAUCUAUGAACAACAUAUGUCUCCAAGUAGUCCAUAACCGCGGACGCGGCUAUUCGAAUAGAUCAUAACCCUGCAGGGGUGUACUUCGUCACACACGCUCUCGCCACUUAUCGCCAUGUGCACGUCAUGCACCUCGGCAACCUUCAAGCGGAAGCCCAGCGAGGGAGUCGGCCACGACCGUUAACCACACUAGUAUCUAGUCCAGGUUUAUCGCCUAUCUGAGAGUAACCCGUACGGAAGUCCGGCCGAGGUUUCCGCCACGGCCUCAAACGAUGUGCGCAGGGUUCCCAAGCCCACCAUCCGGGUGCCACUUGGUACACCGUGCCACUACCUACCGCAUCACGGCCCACCUCUCAGGUCAGCACCAUGCACGGCCUCCAGCAUUACUAUAAACACCAGAAACUACUUGCAACUCCUGGACCGAGUACUAAGCGAUUAAUAGGCCGAGCGGGGUCAUAUUUCAGGGCCCAGCAUGUGGUAGUAUCUAGUCUUGGAUUACAUACACGGAACUCAGUUCCUAAGGACAGUUCCAAUGAAACAACCCGCCAUGUACUCCUACACAGCCUUUCAUCGGUACCUUUACCAAAUCAGAUUCAACACGCAACCUUUGCUUACCGAACGCAUUCUCACAAUUCUGUUCAUCUCCCAGAUGACAGACCAUACACAACUCUAAGCAUAGCAUGCAUAGCAGGAUAAGGCACAUCAUGGCUCAAGCAACUACCAGGUAUGCUAGGUUGCCAGGUUCGUCUAUUUACUGUGACAAGGAUAGGUCAUGCAAAGGAAGUGGGUUCAACUAACGUGGCAAAAGCAGUUGAAGCAUUUGAUCCUAAUGCAAUAAACAAGUGUAGGAGCAAGAACAUGGGAUUUAUCGGGAUGAUCAAAAUGGUUGCUUGCCUUGUUGCUCAGAGGAGGGACAAUAUCCGUCAGACGGAUAUUCGGUGGAAUCCGGGGGAGCGGAGCCUACCGAAGGAAAUGACAACAAUCAAUAUCAAGCAUAUGCAAUCAAGAUGAUGCAUGAGCAUGGCAUGAGAAUGCAAGGUGAUAUACUAUUAUAAUCAACAUGUAUUAGGUUUGAAGUUGAUUUGAAUUAAAUUCAAAUAUCACCUCAAAUGAGGUAUUCUCGGAUACCGAUUUAAUUGAUUCGACCUGAUGCUCAGAUCAACUUGAUGUUAACAUGCAUGGGAUGUCAUGUUAAGUUGCUGGUUUGUUAUUAGAACAAUGUUUGACCAUGUCAAACAAAAAGAAAUUUAAAUACUUUCCAUAUUCCAUUUAUAAAGUAUUUAUAAGAAUUGACUUAUUCAUUAAUCUACAUGUUUGGGUUGUGUAACUUUUUCAAACAUGAUUGAAAAUAGCAUAUUCAGAUUCCUUGAAUUUUUCUGAUACUUUUUCAUAUAUAAAUUAUUUUCAUUGGAGUUACAGAUUAAUUUCUAUGAAUUUUUGAAGUUUUAAACAUUUCUGGAAUUAUUCUUAUACUGGAAAAUACUUUUACUGCAUCAGCAUGACAUCAGCAGGUCCAUCUAGCCGCUGAAAGUCAAACCUGACCAGUGGGACCCACUGGUCAGUCUCUCUGGUCAAUUUUAGAUUAGGAUUAAUCUUAUUUAGUUAAUUAAACUCACUGGACCCACAUGUCAGUGUCUUAUUAAUUUAUCUUAUUUAUUUUUAUUAUCUCUAAACUAUCCAGAGGCUGGCCCCACCCGUCAGUGGCUCAGGCCAGCUGAGAUCCACCGGCGGCAAGGUCAUCCUCGCCGGCGGGGAGCUUCCGGCGAGCACCAGAACGUCGGGGGGGCUCGGAAACUCGUCUGCGACGGCCAAACUCACGGCAGAGACCACGGGAAGAACGGCCACUCGACGGCNNNNNNNNNNNNNNNNNNNNNNNNNNNNNNNNNNNNNNNNNNNNNNNNNNNNNNNNNNNNNNNNNNNNNNNNNNNNNNNNNNNNNNNNNNNNNNNNNNNNNNNNNNNNNNNNNNNNNNNNNNNNNNNNNNNNNNCGACGGCGCGCACGAUGGGACAAGCCCCAGGGGCUGGGGUGGCCGGAAUCAACGCCGGCGACGAGCUUGGCGGCGACCAAGUUCGGCCAUCGUCGAAGCCAUCGAAUACGGGGUCAAAACGCGCGGGGCUGGGCACCUAACGCAUCUACAUGAUGUCCUGAGGCUGUUGGUGGCCUCAGACGGACCAACCCGUCACCGGAGGGUUACCGGCGACGAGCUGCAGCGGCGGUCCUCGUCGGGCUCCGAUGGAACUAAGCCUAGAGGAGGGGAUCGACGGGGAGAGCUUAGGGGAAAUGACCGCAUGCUCACGGGGAGUGCAGUGGUGGCGCUAGCUUGCUCGGGGACGGCCUGGAGAGGGAGAACGCCGGCGACGAUCUUCGGUGACCCGAGGAAGAAGACGACUGCUCCUCGUCGUUUCACUGCAUCUGGGCGUCUGGCUCGUGGCUAGGGAGCUUCAGGGGGAUGCGGCGGACCUACUGCGUGGCUCAGGAGGGAGAAGGGUCGGCUAGAUCGACGACGAGCUUGAGCUCUGCUCGGGCUCCAAUGGCGGCAGAAGGAGGGAGGAGAGAUCCGAGAGGAGGGGGGAACUGGCGCUGGGAAUGGAUAGGGUCGGCCUCGGGGAGCUUAUCCCCGUGCUUGCCAGCGCGAAGCGGCGGCCAGGCAGCCAGGGAGCUGCGUGGAGGCGCGCGGCGACGCGGCGGCCACCUCCUGCUCCUACUGGCGAGGAGGAAGACGACAGGAGGAGCUGGGCUGGGCCGGCUAGGCGACACGUAAGGUUUUUCCCAUUUCUUUCUGUUUUAUUUCUGUUUUAAUUGCUGGCAUUGAUCUACCAUUCCUAAAGUUUUUCAACAUUUUUAAAAGUUUAAAGUUUCUGAUUUCAAAUUUAAAACUUGAAAUCAGUAGCUUUUUGCAUUUAUUUAAAAUGCUUAAAAUGUCAAGAAAAUGGUUUUCUUCAUUGCUCAUUUACUUUCUGAUUUAUCAGAAAGUUUGAACUUUUCUUGAGGCCAUUUUGGGUUCAUUGAUUUUAACUAGUUAGAAUUUUCCCUCAUUCUAAGAAGUGGGUAGGGUUUUAGCAUUUUCCUUCAUCAUUUGCUUUGUUCUUAUUGAAAAAAUCCUAGAUGCAAUGCAAAGAAAAACAUGAGCACAAGCUAACUUGCUUAAGGAUUCAGGAAUGUGACAUGAAGGAAGAGGAGCACCAGAAAGCAGCGCCGCCGUCCGCCCUCCCGACGCCCUCACCGGAAACCCGUGUGCUACUGCGCCGCUUGGCAUCAGCCAUGGCUGUCCGUCCCGCUGCAAUCCGUAUCGGCACUUGGUCGCCCGAGGCACUCGGCCUCACCAGCCGUGUUGCAGACCUCCACCUCCACCAGGCCGCCUCCAACCUCCUCUCCUCCUCUGCGAAGGGACCGCUCCGCCACUGAAGGAGCCGGCCAUGGGCACGAGCAUGGAGGAGAGCAAGUAGUACUCACGAUCUGGGAGAGAUAGCCAUUUGGGAGAGAAAGUGAUGUGGG
rnacentral:lncRNA from 1 species